GGGGGUGAAUUGGCUUCGACGUAGGUACGGAUUCGUAUCAGGGCAUGCCGAGCACCAGUUCGCUCGUAAAACCACUGGAAACAAAGUAACUGCGAACGAUACCUCGUACGCCCUCGCCGCUUAAAACCGGUGAGCCUCUCAGCGGUAGGCCAAUGGGCCGCGUCUGAAGUCGCAAGACGUUAGACAGAGAGGUCAUUCACAUUGGCUGGUCAGCGCCCGUGCACCUUGGACGCUGACGAGACUCAAGGGUGCUGGCUCUCCCAGUAGCGUGCCACUGCGCGACUGGGAGGGUGAGACUCAAAUCAGACGGCUACGCAUGUAGAACUGGACGGAAAAGGCUUGCGGACGCGGGUUCGAACCCCGCCACCUCCAUAC
rnacentral:tmRNA from 1 species